AGAGUUUGAUCCUGGCUCAGGAUGAACGCUGGCGGCGUGCCUAAUACAUGCAAGUCGAACGAAUCUCUUUUAGAGAUGAGUGGCGAACGGGUGAGUAAUACAUAGGUAACCUGCCCCUGUGCGGGGGAUAACAGGAGGAAACUCCUGCUAAUACCGCAUAGCCAUGAGCACCGCAUGGAGCUCAUGCCAAAUAUCCUUUCGGGGAUAGCACAGGGAUGGACCUAUGGCGCAUUAGCUUGUUGGCGGGGCAACGGCCCACCAAGGCAACGAUGCGUAGCCGGCCUGAGAGGGCGGACGGCCACAUUGGGACUGAGACACGGCCCAGACUCCUACGGGAGGCAGCAGUAGGGAAUUUUCGGCAAUGGGGGAAACCCUGACCGAGCAACGCCGCGUGAGCGAAGAAGGCCUUCGGGUCGUAAAGCUCUGUUGUAAAGGAAGAACGGCGCAUACAGGAAAUGGUAUGCGAGUGACGGUACUUUACCAGAAAGCCACGGCUAACUACGUGCCAGCAGCCGCGGUAAUACGUAGGUGGCGAGCGUUAUCCGGAAUCAUUGGGCGUAAAGAGGGAGCAGGCGGCCGCAAGGGUCUGUGGUGAAAGACCGAAGCUAAACUUCGGUAAGCCAUGGAAACCGGGCGGCUAGAGUGCGGAAGAGGAUCGUGGAAUUCCAUGUGUAGCGGUGAAAUGCGUAGAUAUAUGGAGGAACACCAGUGGCGAAGGCGACGGUCUGGGCCGCAACUGACGCUCAUUCCCGAAAGCGUGGGGAGCAAAUAGGAUUAGAUACCCUAGUAGUCCACGCCGUAAACGAUGGUCACUAAGUGUCGGGGGUCAAACCCCGGUGCUGCAGUCAA
rnacentral:rRNA from 1 species